rnacentral:rRNA from 1 species
GGAACCGUGGCUCCCUUCGGGAGUGUUAUAGGCCCGCUGCGUAAUACCCUGCGCCGGGACUGAGGUACGCGCAUCGCAAGGAUGCUGGCGUAAUGGUCAUCAGCGACCCGUCUUGAAACACGGACCAAGGAGUCGUCUUCGUAUGCGAGUGUUCGGGUGUCAAACCCCUACGCGUAAUGAAAGUGAACGCAGGUGAGAGCUUCGGCGCAUCAUCGACCGAUCCUGAUGUUCUCGGAUGGAUUUGAGUAAGAGCAUACGGGGCCGGACCCGAAAGAAGGUGAACUAUGCCUGUAUAGGGUGAAGCCAGAGGAAACUCUGGUGGAGGCUCGCAGCGGUUCUGACGUGCGAAUCGAUCGUCAAAUAUGGGCAUGGGGGCGAAAGACUAAUCGAACCUUCUAGUAGCUGGUUUC